rnacentral:rRNA from 1 species
GACGAACGCUGGCGGCGUGCUUAACACAUGCAAGUCGAACGGAAAGGCCCUGCUUUUGUGGGGUGCUCGAGUGGCGAACGGGUGAGUAACACGUGAGUAACCUGCCCUUGACUUUGGGAUAACUUCAGGAAACUGGGGCUAAUACCGGAUAGGAGCUCCUGCUGCAUGGUGGGGGUUGGAAAGUUUCGGCGGUUGGGGAUGGACUCGCGGCUUAUCAGCUUGUUGGUGGGGUAGUGGCUUACCAAGGCUUUGACGGGUAGCCGGCCCGAGAGGGUGACCGGCCACAUUGGGACUGAGAUACGGCCCAGACUCCUACGGGAGGCAGCAGUGGGGAAUAUUGCACAAUGGGCGGAAGCCUGAUGCAGCAACGCCGCGUGCGGGAUGACGGCCUUCGGGUUGUAAACCGCUUUCGCCUGUGACGAAGCGUGAGUGACGGUAAUGGGGAAAGAAGCACCGGCUAACUACGU